AACGAACGCUGGCGGCAGGCUUAACACAUGCAAGUCGAGCGAGACCUUCGGGUCUAGCGGCGGACGGGUGAGUAACGCGUGGGAACGUGCCCUUCUCUACGGAAUAGCCCCGGGAAACUGGGAGUAAUACCGUAUACGCCCUUUGGGGGAAAGAUUUAUCGGAGAAGGAUCGGCUCGCGUUGGAUUAGGUAGUUGGUGGGGUAAUGGCCCACCAAGCCGACGAUCCAUAGCUGGUUUGAGAGGAUGAUCAGCCACACUGGGACUGAGACACGGCCCAGACUCCUACGGGAGGCAGCAGUGGGGAAUCUUAGACAAUGGGGGCAACCCUGAUCUAGCCAUGCCGCGUGAGUGAUGAAGGCCUUAGGGUUGUAAAGCUCUUUCAGCUGGGAAGAUAAUGACGGUACCAGCAGAAGAAGCCCCGGCUAACUCCGUG
rnacentral:rRNA from 1 species